UUUUCCCNRKUCCCNNCNGUUGUAAAACGACGGCCAGUGAAUUCGAGCUCGGUACCUCGCGAAUGCAUCUAGAUUCCUACGGGAGGCAGCAGUGGGGAAUAUUGCACAAUGGGCGAAAGCCUGAUGCAGCAACGCCGCGUGAGCGAUGAAGGCCUUCGGGUCGUAAAGCUCUGUCCUAAGGGAAGAAAUUUGACGGUACCUUGGGAGGAAGCCCCGGCUAACUACGUGCCAGCAGCCGCGGUAAUACGUAGGGGGCAAGCGUUAUCCGGAAUCACUGGGCGUAAAGGGUGCGUAGGCGGUCUUACAAGUCAGGGGUGAAAGGCUACGGCUCAACCGUAGUAAGCCUUUGAAACUGUAGGACUUGAGUGCAGGAGAGGAAAGUGGAAUUCCUAGUGUAGCGGUGAAAUGCGUAGAUAUUAGGAGGAACACCAGUGGCGAAGGCGACUUUCUGGACUGUAACUGACGCUGAGGCACGAAAGUGUGGGGAGCGAACAGGAUUAGAUACCCUGGUAGUCCACACCGUAAACGAUGAGUGCUAGGUGUUGGGGGUCAAACCUCAGUGCCGCAGCUAACGCAUUAAGCACUCCGCCUGGGGAGUACGCU
rnacentral:rRNA from 1 species